rnacentral:rRNA from 1 species
GUCGAACGCUGGCGGCGUGCUUAACACAUGCAAGUCGAACGCGCCUGUCCUCUGGGUUUCUGGGGGGUGGGUGAGUGGCGAACGGGUGAGUAACACGUGAGUAACCUGCCCCCUUCUUCGGGAUAACGGUCUGAAAGGGCUGCUAAUACCGGGUAUUCACUGGUCUCCGCAUGGGGUCUGGUGGAAAGGUUUUUUUCUGGUGGGGGAUGGGCUCGCGGCCUAUCAGCUUGUUGGUGGGGUGAUGGCCCACCAAGGCUUUGACGGGUAGCCGGCCUGAGAGGGUGACCGGUCACAUUGGGACUGAGAUACGGCCCAGACUCCUACGGGAGGCAGCAGUGGGGAAUAUUGCACAAUGGGCGCAAGCCUGAUGCAGCGACGCCGCGUGAGGGAUGGAGGCCUUCGGGUUGUGAACCUCUUUCGCCCGUGGUCAAGCCGCGACGUGGGUCGUGGUGAGGGUAGUGGGUAAAGAAGCGCCGGCUAACUACGUG